GACAGAGGGUGCAAACGUUGUUCGGAAUUACUGGGCGUAAAGCGCGUGUAGGCGGCUUCGCAAGUCGGGUGUGAAAUCCCACGGCUCAACCGUGGAAGUGCAUUCGAAACUGUGAGGCUAGAGUCCUGGAGAGGAAGGUGGAAUGCUUGGUGUAGAGGUGAAAUUCGUAGAUAUCAAGCGGAACACCGGUGGCGAAGGCGGCCUUCUGGACAGUGACUGACGCUGAGACGCGAAAGCGUGGGGAGCAAACAGG
rnacentral:rRNA from 1 species